AAGCCACCAAGUCUGUAAUAGCUUGCAUUAGCAGCUCUGCCCCGCCCUUGGGUGUUCCGCACACUGUGGGCAGGGCUCGCCGGCCACCUCUCCCUGCUGGUCCCAGCACUUACUGCCCCAGCUGCCCCCACUCCCAUGUGCAGGUGCCCCAGGGCUGCUUCCAGCUGCUGCCUUUUGCCCAGCCUGAGGCCACAGCCUGGAGUGCCCUCCGGACCCCACUGCUCCAGGCCUGUCUCUGCCAGGCUCCCUUAGGGCCACUCUGCCCCUCCCUGGCUGCCUCAGAAGAGCCAGUCUGUCCACAGGUCCCUCCCAGCCAGAGUCCACUGCCACGGUGGCUUUCUCCCCCACCUGGCUCUGGCCAGAGCCACGCCACCCUGCCCUUUGGACGUGGACCCAAUUCAAAGCUGCAGCCCUGUCCUUGAAUCUCUCUCUUGGGGAACAGCUCUCUCCUGCCAGCUGCUGGUCCGGGCUGGUUUUUUUCAUAUUUAUGUUUUAGUUACAGGUGGAACCAUAUCUUUAUCUUACUUUAUGAGGUGCUAAGGAUCGAACCCAGGGCCUCACACAUGCUAGGUGAGUGUUCUAUCUCUGAGCCACAACCCCAGCCCCAGGCUGGUUUUUAUUCCCCCCCCCCAGUACCAGGAAUUGAACCCAGGGGCGCUCUACCCCUGAGCUCUACCCCCAGGCCUUUAAUCUUUUAAUUUUAUUUUGAGACUGGGUCUGGCGAUGUUGCCCAGGCUGGCCUUGAACAUUCAAUCCCCUGCCUUAGCCUCAAGUAGCUGAGAUGCAGGUGUACACCACUGGCGGUCCAAGCCGUGUGACCGCUGCACCAGCCCAGUGGACCAGGAGGGUGCUGCUGCUCGGUGAGGGUCAGGACCACCUUGCCUGCUGUUUGCCUUUGCAGCGGCAGGACUGGGCUGUGGUGGUGGCUGCAGGUCCUUGGGCACACCACUUAGCUGCCGGGGCCUCAGCUUCCCGUCUGUAAGGUGAGGGGGCAUGGCCGAGGCUGUGUGAGGAGGCCAGCAGCCCACAGGGCAGGUGAGGCAUGCAGCCUGCUCUGCCAGGAGGGUCUGACCGGUCGGAGGGGCCUGUGUUCCUGCAGAUCAGCAAGUGCUGUGUGGCAGUGCCUGGAGGCUUGGCCACAGUGGGCAGUAAGCGUGGGACCAGUGAGUGGCCAGAAGACGUCCAGUCCAGAAAGCUCAUUCGCACAUUUGAUAGACUUAGAAACGCCAUGGGGGGUGGGUAACUCCUCCUCCCCCCACCCCCCUCCGGCUUCACUGCUUUUCAGGAAAACCUGAAGCAGCCCGGGAGGUCCACCCCUACCCUGGGUUACAGUGGCAUCACAGAAAUGUCCAGGUGGGCCCGCGUGGACAUUGGGAGACAAAGGCUCUGCCACGUGCACCCUCAGGGACUGUGCCCCGCAGGUCACAGGUCACAAGCCCUGUCAGAACGAAGGGCUUCUUCAAGCCCCAGGGAGAGGCCAGGGGUGGGAGAGGCCACGUCAACUCGACCCUAUGAGUGUGCCACCUCGUGGCCGCAGGCGAGGAUGCAGCAUAGGGCCCACAGCUGCGCCCAGGGCAGCCCCGCCCGCCUCCUUGCAACAGUGGCAAGUGGCGGGUGCCACCUGAGACCACAGGGCCUACUUUGUCCCCUUUGGGACAGACUGCUGGCCUGGGUUCUAGUCUAAGCUCUGGGUCUUACCUGCUGUGUGACCAUGGCAAGUCCCUGCACCUCUCUGAGCCUCAGUUUCCCUUCUCUGGUGGUCAGCUGCGUCCUUCCUCCUGCCCUCGCCUGCUCCAUAGUUGCGCACGGAGGGCCACCUCCUUCUCAUUACUCAGCCUGUGGUUCCAGUUUUAACAACAGAAAAUGGACCAAGACAACUGCCCAACCAGUGCCCGAAGGAUGGGACAGCAGGCAGGGACAGCGUGAGGGACAGAAUGGGGUGGGUGGCAGAGCAAGCAACUGGUUGGCCAGCCCUGAGGUCCUGGAUGUCCUGGGCACCAUGCACUGGUCCUCCUGGAAAGCUCCUGUUCCUUCUGAGAGCAGCAAAGACUGUGGGGACCUCGGGGCCUCCAAACUGGAAUGGUGCAAGGGGGCCACAGAUCUGGCAGGACAGUUGGUCUGGGGGCCUGGGCCUGGAGGACUCUAAAACAAGGCACCUUCCUGAUUACACACCCCUGCUCUGAGGAUAAACCCUCGGCACAGAGCCCACCUCGAGUGGACAGGGACACUGGGUCAAAGGAAGGGGGCUGGGUGGGGGAGCGCAAGGAAGGACGGUCCCACGUCUGAGGCCAGCCUGGGCAGUUCAUCAAGAACCUGCCUGAAGACAAAGAAUUGAAAGGGCUCGGGUGAGGCCGUUCAAUAGUCAAGUGCUUCCUCAGACGAGUGAGGCCCUGGGUCAAUCCCCAGCUCUGGAUGAAAGGAUCCAGAGAUGUGAUAAGACUAAAGGCAGCACAGGUGUAAACACAGUGGGUCAACCCGAGAGAACAGAAGGCAGAAGGAGCAGGCCUCCUUCAUCACCAAGAAACGAGAAAGACCCGAAAGGGAUGGGAGAGAGUGGGAGAAGUGCAAGACAGACCCGAAGGCCUAAGGCACACCUGACCAGAGAAGUCCCUGGAGAAGAAGACAGAUCCGUGUCCACAGGCAAACCACCACGCAGGAGAAGCUCCCGGAGGGUAAAACCAGCCACCUAGAGACCAGGACAGCCACUGGGAGCCGAGCUGAUGCACCAGGAGCUGUCAGGCUGCACAGAGAAGAGAAGCCCUCAGACAACCAAGCAAGAGGUCGGGACACCAAAGAGAGGUCGAAGGUUGAGACAGGGUCGCUAGGCUGCAUUUCCCUGCACCAGCCCAUGCUGGGAGAGAGAGCAUGAGACCCAGAACUCCAGACCCAGAACACAAGACCCAGAGUAUCAGACCCAGAACUCCAGACCCAGAACAUCAGACCCAGAACUCCAGACCCAGAACAUCAGACCCAGAACAUCAGACCCAGAACUCCAGACCCAGAACAUCAGACCCAGAACUCCAGACCCAGAACAUCAGACCCAGAACUCCAGACCCAGAACAUCAGACCCAGAACUCCAGACCCAGAACUCCAGACCCAGAAAGUAGACAUAUCACACCCAGAGCAUGAGACACAGAACAUUGGACCAGCAUAUUAGACCAGAAUAUUGGGCCUUGAACUUUCAAUGCAGAGUGCUUGACCCAGCGUGUCGGCAACAUUCGGCACAGAGACUCGCGGAGAACACAGACCAGAAUCCUAGGCCCAGCCGUCCAUGUUAAGGCUGCAGAUGCUGCCAGGACGUGGAAAAUCUCUUUCUGGAGCUUUUGCUGUGGGAAUCUGCAAACCACAACCAGGGCCCGGCACAGGUUGAAACCCAUGAGGUCAAGACGCUGCGGGAAAGAUCACAGUCACAGGAGGAACGCAGCUUGUCAUUUUGAAACCGUCGGUAAAGUGAGGAGAUCAGGCAUUUCUCCCCCUUUCCUAGGUGGCUGGAACUCAGGGCGACAAAGAGUCAAGGAGGGGAAGUCUCUCCUAAUCGCGUUCAGCUGAUGAGUGAAGAGGGGACCCUGGAACUUGGAUAUCUCCAGUGUGCACCUCCUUGUGGCUUAGGGGACCGCGGCCAUGACCAUCCGUUUAUCCUAACCCUGCAGCACGUGGCCACUCCAGCGGAAGGCCCACCACACCCAGGAGGCGUCCAGGCAAUUGGCACUGAACCUGAAUCUGACAAGACUGGAAAGGGCCCUGCCCAGCACGGCAGCCACUGUCCCCCCAGCUACUCACAUGUAAGACCCAUCAGAACAAGACGCAUCCUCAUCACCAGGCCACAUUCCACCUGUGCCAUUGCCACCAUGGCUGGUGCCCAGGGCUGGACAGUAAGGAGGAUUCUCACAGGAAGAUCCACGGGACAGGACCACCUUAGUGCUGAUGGCCACUCAGCAGCAAAGGGGAACAGAGUGACGUGGUGUCCCUUGGGUCCACAGCGGGCACACAGGCAACACUCACAGCGCAGUCUCUUAAAAACAAGCAAAGGUUAGAGCAAGAAGCUGGAGAGGACACGUGGUCAAGGGAGGCCUCAGAGACCCGCGGAGGCCCAUGGGGAAUGGAGCCCGUUGGUGGCGCUGUGUGUGAAGGGACGGCCUCGUGGCAGGGCGGGUCAUCUUGGGUGGGAGCAUCGCUGUGCUGUCUCCACAGGGCAGCCCUGUCUCUGGCCUGCACACUGAACCUUCGCGGAUUCACCGCCACCUGGAUCCGCUCCAUGCUGCAGGUGUUGGGGCCACAUGCAAUAAACCCACCACAACUCGGAAACGUUGUCUGGGGAAGACGCCCUGAGCAUCCCCAGACCCCGACCCGCUGAGCGCCCGGCUCAGCCACGCCGCUCGCUGGGGAGCAUCCCGGCUUCCCCUGGGAUGGCAGGGCUGACCGCGAGCCGCCCUCACCAGGUUGCCCGGCACAGAAUUGCUAGCCCAGGAAAGGACCGAGGUCAGGACACAAAGCACAGUUUCUGCUGAGUGUGUGUUGCUUUCCCACCGUCAUGAAGUCGAAAAGUUGUCCCUCAGCCAAGCUGGGGUCCACCUGUAAUCCAGGGGUCAGUGUGGGCUUGACUCAGGGAAGCAAGGGGGCUUGGCGGGGCGGUCUGUGUCCUUGGGUUCCCUCUGCUGACCUCUCUGCCCGUUAGGGGCUCCCAUGAUCACAGGAUGCAGGGCUCACAGGGACAGCUGUGCUCUCUGGCCUCAGGAGCACCCACCACCGACCCCAGCGGGGCCCUCAAAGGUCAGGGCAGGAAAAUCACUCUGUCCCCACUUGGCCCGCAGAGGGCAGGCUGGGUGGAGGGACCCGGGGGGACUGCCUGGGAAGGCCUGCUCCGACAGAGGCCACGGCCUCCCAGAGAUGGUGGGGUGAGGGGUCCGGUUGGCAGCCACUCCCAGGAAGUGUCCCCUACGCCCCCGGGGACUGCCACAGCUUGCUCACACAGCCGCACUGCAGCACCCGCCUCCUGCCUCCUGGGUGCGGGCACCGUGCUGGGCACCAGGACCCACACCGUGCCAGCCCCCGUGAACCAGGAGAGAAGCCACUGCAGCCCAGGGGCCAAGCCCUGGAGGGAGUGAGCAAGGGGCACCUCCUGUGGGGAAGGCCUCUGGGGCCAGCCACUGUUGUCUGUCUCGUGGACUCUUUACUUUGUGCCCUUAUGCCCACGCCUAGUUCCCCUGUGUCUCCGUCAGCUGACCCACUGCUGUGACCAAAAGACUGACAAGAGCAAGUGGAGGAGGAGAGGUUAUCUUGGGGCUCAUGGUCCCAGCGUCUCAGUCCUUAGGCGGCCAGCUCCGUUGCUCUGGCCCAAGGUGAGGCAGAACAUCAUGGUGGAGUGUGGUGGGGACAGUGGCUCCGGACUCGGCUACCAGGAAGCAGAGAGAGCCUGCGACCAAGGAGCAAGGCCCCAGGGACCCACCUGCUCCAGCCACACCCAGCUGCCUGCUCCGCCCAGGCUGUCCCUGUCCGGGGUCCGUGCCCUGGCAGGGCACGGCUCCCGUCAUCAGCCACUUCACCUCUGACCCUCCUUCCCUUGGCACCCAUGAGCUCUGUUCUUUCUCUACACCUUUAUUUGACUCAUUUAUGUCUCUGUGGUGCUGAGGAUGGAACCCAGGGCCUUCCACGUCUGGGCGAGUGCUCUACCGCUGACCCCAGCCCCGGCCCCCCACGUGAGCCGUUGGGACACCUCACAUCUCACCACGGUGCCCUGUAGCCCCCUCCAUCGCUGUGGCCCAUUUGUUACAGGCGGUGACCCCCUCUUCACUCACCCUCCUCGGUCUCUACCCCGCACGCUCUGCUGUCCCGGGGUCCCGCGGGCCAUCCAGUCGUCACAGCUCCCUGGACUCCUCCUGGCUGGGACACUGUCUCAGACUCUGUCCUGAUUUUGAUGAUCCUGAAAGUUUUGAGGAGUGACAGGAUUUUAUAAAUGUCCCUCCGUUGCCAUCUGUGCCCUGUUUUCCUCAGGGUCAGACUGAGGCCGUGGGCUCUAGGAGGAGGCUACGGAGCCCUUCUGACCGCAUCCUGUCCAGGUCACCUGCCAUCCGUACGACUGGCCGCUGUGGGUGACUGACCACGCCCACGGGACUCCGCUCUGGGACUGUCCCUUCCUUUCCCAGGCCCUGGGAAGGAGGUCAGGAUGGUGGCUUCUCUCCAUUUAGGGAAAAAAAAAAAUCACAUAUAUAUAAAAGCACCAUGAGAAGUUGACUCCACUGUUCCCACAGCGCAGACCUCCUUGGAUCUUGGUGAUGUACACGCAGCGUGAACUUGGCCGUCUUAGCCACUGAAGGUAACGUGAAGCCCACUAGGACCCAGUGUCCACCCAGAACGCUUCAUUUUAAUAGUUAGCUAUGUUUUAGCUGUAGUUGGACACAUGCCUGGGUUUCAUUUAUUUCUAUGUGGUGCUGAGGAUCGAACCCGGGGCCUCGCACGUGCCGGGCUCUACCGCUGGGCCCCAGCCCAGCCCAGCCCCAUCCAGAACGCUUUGCACCUUGCAGAACGGAAGCCCCCGGAAGCCCGCACCCAGGAAACACUGCCUUCUCCGGCCGGCCCCUGGCGACCCCGUCGGCUUCCUGUCUCCGUGAGCUGGACGGCGGCCCAGGACAGGGACGGUGCCCCGCUCACCUUUCCGCCCAGCCGCUCGCGCGGUUCAGUAUUUCCUUCCCUUCGUGGCUGGGCGGUCCCCUGGAUGGAAGGACCACAUCUUGUCCAUCUGUCCGUCUGUCAGUGAACGUCUGCUGCUCCCACCCUUUGGUUGCUGGGCACAUGCAGCCGUGAGGUUGAUUCCUCAGGGUCCACUCUAGGAGCGAAGCUGCUGGCCACGUGGUCACGCUCCAUUUAGCGUUCUGAGGAGAUGUUGGGCAGCUUUCCGCCGUGGGUGGGGAUCUUAGGUCCCGCCAACAGUGCAGGAGGACUGACCCCUCGUGUCCUCGGCAGUGGGAGGUGACGUUGUGUUCCGGGUGAGUCGGUGCGCCUUUUUAAUGUUCUUACAAUUCUAUUUAUUUUGGGGGGAGGUGUCCAGGAUGACAUGCUGCGUCCGCCCCCAUCUCUAGGUGGCAGCCCUAGCUGAGGACGUGGUGGCAUUGGAGAUGGGGACUGGGAGGCGACUGGGUGCGAUGGUUGCGAGGGUCAUGGCCUGUGGCAAGAGGAAGCCGGAGGGCUCGUCCCCUCCUGCGGGCACACACAGGGACAGCUAGAAGGGACGUCACAGCUGGAGUCUCCCGUCUCCCCCAGGGAGGGUCCUUGCCAAGAGCCACAGUGGCCAGCACUGGAACUUCAGCCUCCAGAGCCGUGACACAUCAAUGCUGUUGCUUAGGCCACCGGCCUCUGGGAUCCCACCCUGAGCUGAGCAGGCGGGUGGUUCAAAGCUCACAAGGCACAAAACACAUCAGUGAAACCUCCCUCCGGCCCACCCACACAGGUCCCUCGGGGAGGGGACAUUUGUACUGAGACCCACCACAAGACAACUGGUCUCACGAGAGGGUGUUCCAAGCAGCAGGAAAAGCACGUGCGAAGGCCCAGCCGUGGGCUAGAGGCUCAGGAGCUGGGAGGCUUCAGGGUGGCCGGGGAGGAAUGGCCACCGAGAGCCUGGGCCUGGCGAUGGGGGGCAGCAGCCCCCCGGGGCCUCCCAGGGGCCUUGGAGGCCGCACGCGGUGGUGAUCGACGCAAGAGCACGGAUCCAGACCGCAGUGUGCAUCCGGCUCCAUCCUCCCUCGGGGCAGGACACCCCUCCCCCUGGCGGGUUUCCAGAGCCCGUGAGGAAAGCCCCACCCCUGACUCGGGUCUCUGUGACACCCCCAGAGCCAUGCCUGGCGCAUGAGGCCGCUCCCGGCCUCAUCAUCCCAGGGCAGAUGCGCCCGGCACUUCACACUCUGGGGGGCAGUGUCCAGUGGGAGAGGAGAGCCGCUGCUCCAGCGUCUGCUUCACCUGGGCCCCCAGCAGACCUGCCCUGUGUCUCGCUGGCCAGACGCUUUGCCACUCUCCAGCUCUUGAACCUCAGAGGCCAGAGAAAUGGGUCAAGAAGGCCAGAGGCCCAGAGGGCCCAGUGUCAGCCAGGCAGCGCCCCAGAGCUGACCUGUGGUCAGGGGGCCCCCUCAGAGGUGUCCAAGGUGCUACUGCUGCAUGGGCCUGCUCUAGGGGGACAGAGCAGCCUGUGACUGGACGGCCUGUGCAGCCCCAGCACCUCCGCAGGAGUCUGAAGGUCCGUGGCACUAAGUCAGCAGGGACCCAGGGCUCGGCUGAGAGUGGACCUGAGCCCAGGGGCUGGGUGACCUGUGCAAGCACCUGCCAGGUAUGGCUUCCCAGGGGUCCACGGCCAGGCAGGGCUAGGGAGGGAGCAGCCUGGUCCUCGUGACCCCCAACACGUGAAUCCUGGGGUUGGGGUCCUGACACCAACGUGACCUCCAAGGCAAGUCCCUCAGGGUCUGGCCUGCGUCUCCACAUAAUGCUCCUCAGAUGUCACCCUCCAGGUCUCCAGCCUCCACCAAGGCCCGAGGCCAUCAGAAGCUGCUUUGAGAGGUGCCCUGGGAGCUCGGGCCUGCCUGGGCAGAGAUGUGCCCAGCCAGCAGGCUGCGCCAGCUCCCGGGAAGACAGCCCGCCCCUCAGCAGCCUGCUCGGGACACCGGUCUCCCUGGCUGGCCGUGGAACCGUCCCAAGACCCCACCCAGCCAUCUCCUUCUCCAGCAAGCCUCCCCAGCCCUGGGCGGUGAGGUCCUGUAGAAUCUCCAGCCUGGGGAACAGAGUGAGGAGUUACAUCUGACUCAAAAGCCACUUCAGACUAGCCAAGCAGAAAAGGAAGUGUAUUAAUUCUUACAGCUGCCAAGUCCAGGGUAUCCUUCAGGCGUGGCUGGAUCCAGACAGGACCAAGGGGCAGCAUCUCUUUGCUUUAGUUCUACCUCAUGGCAGGUCUGGGCCAACAUCCCCCCUGUUAUCAACCGUGGCAGAGCCUGAGGUUCUCUGUACAACAGUUUUAACCAGAGUUUCACAAUUGGGUCUCCCUGGCUGUGGGUGAGCUGGUUCAGGUCACAUGUCUAUCCCCAAAACAUGAAGGACUGAGCUUAGCUCUGCUGGGCUACAUGGCAUGAGGAUGGGAUGAGGGGGCAGUCAUCGCUGGCCACACAGCUGGCCAUGGCAUCCUUGCUGGCUCCUCAGGAGAUGACUGCUUCACGGGCAGGGACGGCGCCCCCUAGUGUUGCCUGCAAAGGCCAGCAAGGGACACAGUAGACACACUUUGGUUUUCUCAGGGCAUUGGCACGUGCUGUUCACCCUGCUAGGAACAGCCCACCCAGCCGGCCCUCCUUCCCACCUCCUAGGACUGCCUUGCUAUUGGGACUGGGAUCUUAGUAAUCCUGUUUAGACACACACUAGACUGUCAUUCUAUCCUCCCUGCCUCUCUCCUCUUCUCUUUCUAUGCUCCGCCCUAGGGAAAUUCUUCAAAUCUCUUCUCCAAUUCACUGAUUCUCUCUUCAGCUGUUUAAUCCAUGGAGUUUAUAGUUUCAACAUUUAAUUUUGAUUUGUAAAGUCUCUGUGGUUCUUAUUCAAAUAUGAUCUUUCUUUAGCAGACUCUUCUUUUUGAUCUUUUUUCUUUCUUUUUCUUUUUUGAACUGGGAAUUGAACCCAAAGUUUCUUCACCACUGAGCCACAUCCCCAGCCCUUUUUAUUUUAUUUAUUUUUUGGGGGUACCAGGGAUUGAACUCAGAGGCACUCUGAUGAGACCAAUAAGCCUCAUCUCCAGUUCUAUUUAUUUUUAUUUUUAUUUUUUUAUUUAGAGACAGGGUCUCACUGAGUUUCUUAAUGCCUCGUUUUUGCUGAGGCUGGCUUUGAACUCACGAUCCUCCUGCCUCAGCCUCCCAAGCCACUGGGAUCACAGGUUGAUCUUCUUUCUAAUUCUGUCUUUUACUUUUCUAUUUCAAAUAUCCAAACAUCUGAAUUCUCAGGGGUCCACACCUGUUCGCCAUGUCUGUUGACUCUCAUGGGCCGUGUUUCUUUGAGUCUGGUCUUUUCCUUUUUAUGGCAAGUUCAUUUUUGGUUGCACUUCACCAGUGAGAAUCCUGAAGGCCUCAGUGGGUCACUGACCUCCAGAAGGGACCCUCCAUUUCCUUCUGCUGGUUUCCAGCUGGUGUGGACCCUCAGGGCCUGCUCUUGAUCUGGGACCGUUUGACGUAGGAUGGGGUCUCACUGUCUAACUUCACGCUGGGAGAGGGAACAGCGUCUCAGGGAAGUCACCCUUUUACUGCUCCCACCCAGAGCUCUGAGGCAGACUCCUGGGGCUCCCCGGGGGUUCCCUAUGGGGACAGGCAGGUUGGGGGACGUUUUUGGUCCUGUCCCUUCCCCUCUGCUGGGCACUUUGUUGCCCAGGGAAAUGCAGGCGGCCGGUGUCCCUGGUUCCGCUGUCUUUGGGUAGUUGAGUGUGUUCUGGAAGGGGGGGCCUCUGAGCUGGGCAAUGGGGUGGUGUCCACGUGUGGACUCUGCCCACGGUCAGGUAGCCGAUGCGUUUCAGGGCGUCUGCUCACCAUGCUGCCAGCAGGGUCAGCUUGUCACUGGCUCGGGCGUGGGGUCCUUGUGCUGACGUGCUCGGCUCGGGCAGGUUUUCCACGAGGACUCAGAGAGGAGGCUCCUUUCUGCGGCCAGCGCUGGGGACAGCUCUCAGGCUGAGGCACGCCUCUGCCAGCUUUGGGCCCUGCAGCAGCACCCCUUGCUGUGAUCCCCCGGCACUUCUGAGGACCCGGGGGAGGCCAGGGACUGGCCUGCUGCAGAGCGGGCAGAAUGGUGGGCACCAGGUGGACGUGCGGGCGCCCUGCAGGUGGUGGCGUGUAGGGGACAGGCCAUCUGUGCUCCUGAGGUCUGCAGCCCUCCCGCCCUCCCCUCCCAUCUCGGGCACACAGCCCCACUCUGUCCACACCCAGCCGGCCCCGGCCAGCCUUGCUUGGACCUGAAUGUCUGUGCCCAUGGCAGCUGCCUCCUCCCCGAAGACGGCCUGACCUGAUCAUCCCAGGAGCGUCCACUGCUCUCUCCUCUGGGCUGACCUCUGCUCAGGGCCACAUGGUGCGGGGAGCUGGUGUGGACCCUCAAGGGCUAUUGUGAGGACAGAUGGACGUGGGCAGUGGGAACACCUACCCUGCCCUGACUGUGCAGUGUCUUUCCUGAGGCUGGAACGCCCAGCUCCGGGCCCAUCCCUUAAGCCCCCGCCCGCCAUUUGGACUGACCCAACUGCCCUGCCCAACGUGGACCUGACCACACUGGAGACCCGUGUGGCGGUGGGAUGUGAGGUGUCCCCCAAAAGCUCACGUGCGGGAUGAUGUGCGAGGGCUCUAAGGGGAAAUGAUAGGUUGAGAGGGCCUUGACCCGUCAGUGAGCUGACCCCCCGAUAACCGAGGGGUCGCUGGAGGCAGGUGUGUGCUGGAGGAGGGUCCCCGAGGAUGUGCCUUGGGGGUGUGCAUUGUAUCUGGAAAGUGGAGUCUCUGCUUCCUGAUCCCCACGUGGGCAGCUUCCCUGGGCCACACCUUCCCUCCGUGAUGUCCGGCCUCACCUGGAGCCUGAGCAGUGGAGCCCGCUGUCCCUGGACUGAGACCUCUGGAACCGGGAGCCCCCAGAACUCUCCCUCCUCUACACUGUGCUGGUCACAGCGACUCAACACCCGGAGAGUUCAGCAAGUGUCCCCGAGACAGAGGUUGGCCGGGACCCCCGAGGACCUCCUGGGCUGGACGGGGCUGCUGGGCUACAUCCUGCCCCAUCCUGCCAGGUACUCAGCCUGGGAUCCUGUCCCCACCACUGCUCCUGGUCACUGCCCUGGGGAUAUCCCAGGGUCACUGCUGGGCUGCUUCUCAGGCUCUAGGUGGGCGCCCUGGAUUCCAUGGGGAUCCUGACCUGGGCCCAGUACGUGAGUGGAACUGUCCCAGGGACACCCCCCUUCUCUCACUGGAGGCAGAGUUCCAGGCCCUCUGGUCUCAGCCCUACUGCCCCUUGAGCCCAGCUGCCCAGCUGCCCUGGUGCCCGGCCUGGUUCCAUGCGGCUCCCACAGGUCCUGAUGGGCCAGCCUCGCUGGUCCCCCAGCCUUGGCCUCGCUGCCCAGAGGAGAGCCACACAGCCCUCUGGGCUCAGCCAGAGUCCGCACAGGCUGUGGUGGCCGCAGGUCCCGUGGGGGAGGUGGUCAGCUCUGCCCUGCUCAUCCUUGCUCUGCGCACAGAUGGACACACCAUAGGCUCUAGUGGGGUGGGAUGGGGGCUUGAAGCCGCUGUGCUCACCAGAAGAUUCCCCACCUUGACAGGAAACCAUUCGAGACUCCUGACCAGAGGGACACAAAGGGUGGCCAAGAUGGAGCCUGGCACAGGUAGGAAUGACGAGGGGUGGGCUUGGGCAGCAGAAGCCACCAGUGGGGGCAUUUGCAAAGUUCUCUGGGGUGAGUGGCCAGGGAAAGAGGCUUGAGUCAGUUCCUGCUGUGUGACCCUCAGCAAGCCACUCAGCCUCUCUGAGCUCUGCACCUGGUGGUAUCGCCAUGAUAAGAGGCUUCCAUCCAGGUCAGUGCCCUCCUCGUCCACACAGGUGGGAACAGAGACAGUCUCCUGUGCUCCUCAGGGACACAGCUGCAGUGGCAGAGCUGGAACUCAGAGACAGGAAGCUUCUGCCGAGGGCAGCUGCCCACGGCGGCUCCUCACUGCCCAGCCCCCCUGGGGCCAGGGAGCAAGACCAAGGUGGGGGUCGGAUGCCUGUGAGACAGCGGGUCUUCAGGACCACGGUCCCCAGUAGGACCCCCACGGGAUCUGCUGGGUGAGCCUCUGAGAGGUCCACCUGACCCGCCCACUCUGAGCCCCACAUCUUCUGGGGAGAACACCUCCUGGGCCCGUGCUCUGGGCACCACCCAUGGUGGGCGUUUGUGUCCAUGGUCAGUGGGUCCCGGCCCACACUGGCUCUCCUCCCGUCCCCCUGCCCUGACUGCACAGCUGACCGGCCAGAGCCCUCUAGAGCCUGGUACCCAGCUGCGACAGCAGAGGCGGGCUCCGCCUGCAGCCCCUGCCUCCCGGCGGCAUCCCCAGGCCCUGUUCGCCCACUUCCCUCAGCAAUACCCCUCCCCACCCGCUCCCCCCUGCCUGCCUACAAGCCCAGUCACCCUGGAAAGCUUUAUCAGCUGUCCCCCUCCUCAUCAGGGAGACCUCACUUUCCCUCCAGGCCACCCUAGGCCUUGGUUUUACCCCACCAGACUUUCACUAGUGUCUGUGUGUGUCUGCCUCCCCCCAGAAACAGAACUCAGAAACAGGAGGCCAGCACGGGGCGUGGCCUCGACGGAACAAGGCAGCCUCUCCCCACUGGCCUCCAGGGAGCGUCACUCAGGAACCCUGGUGGAGGUCUGGGGGUCCCAGUGGAACCCUGCAGAAAGCCAGUCUUGGCAACGUUCCCAGCCUCCACUCUGGAACAAAGGCCCCGUUUCCUCCAAAAAAGAUGGGCCAGGGUGACGAGGAUGAACCCGGGCACCUGCCUCCCAUGACAGCACAGCCGCCUGCUCUGGCCGAGGCGUGUGCACUGGCUUCUCAGCAGAACCAGCUCCCACACAGUGGGGGACCCAGCGCCCCCAGAAGGGGAAAAGACAAGGGUCCCCGGGAACCUCCAGGAAGGAACGUGGCCCUGCCAAGACUGACUUCAGCCUCUGCAGCAAGCCCACGAGGCUGACCGCCCACCUAGGACCACGGUGGCCAUCUCUAAGGGGUCAGCUACUGAGCUCGUGGGGUUUGUUACAUCGGAGCAGCAACAAGUGCACCGCGCCUCCCGGGGGACACGGGCUCCCAGAGAGGAGAAGGACCUGCCCAGCCUACCGCCAGGCCUCCUGACCACUGCCCAGGGUCCCCGCCCGGCCCACCCUCCUUGGAGGACAGGACAGAGGCACCAGCAGACAGGCAGUGCCGGCCCUGAGAGGCCAGAAGCUGCGGAGCCCGUCGCUGUGCGGCCUCAGGGAGCUGGGGGCCGGGGCGGGGGGCUGUGUGCGGAAGCCAGGGAGCAACUGUGGCAGAAGUUGGAACUUGUAGGGAGCCAGUGCCCUGCCAAGAGCCCCCUGGGGUCCCCACGUCCCUGCAAAGCAGGUGGUGGCAGGCGCCCACGUCAGCCUGGGUCCAGAGAGCACCCAACACACGCCCUCGUCCCCGGAGGCCAGCCAGGGCUCUGCCUAUUUAUAGAACCCUCAUCCAUCUUCCUGCCUUUGAUCAGGGAGGGGCUGGGCUCCUUGGAGGCUGCAGAUCUUGGCAGGCCCUGCCUCUGCGGCAGGGCGGCCGGGCUCCCCUCAGCUGGGGUGGGGCCAGCGCUGGGGCUGGGGAGCACCUGCACAGCGGCAGAUGGCCUCAGGCCACCUCAGGCUGACCGGCAAGGGAGGCUCCUGGUGGAAGGGCUUCCGUGGGCCCUUCUCCCCCGCAACUCUGGCAACCAGCCAUCUUGGCGUCUGUGGCUCUGAGGCUGCUCUCCUGGGAAGCCACUCAGGUCUCGGGUCCUGGGUGCCCUCCCUCCCCCCACCCGCCAUCGAAAGUCCAAGGUUCCCACGCUCCCUGGAGUUUGGGCUCCCUCUUUCAGAAGAGCCCCGCGCCCAGGCCCUGGGGUGGGCACAGAGGCGGCCAGCGCCUUCACUCCCAGGGUCAGGCCCCUCCUGCUGGACGGUGUUCCAUGCCCACCCCCACUCCCUCCGGGUGACCAGAGCCAGGAGGCCUGUGUUCUGUCCCCGACACGUCCCCAACACGUCCUCGAAGGGCAGCUGGACCCUGGGGGAGUGUGAGUGUCAGGGGCUGGGACUCCUGGGCUUCCUCAGCCGCUGCUCCCUGGACUCGAACCCUUCAAGGCAUUCGCCUCCCUGCUCCAUGCCUUGUCCCCUGGGGCUGGACACCAGGGCUCUGGGAGGGGACUCUUGGAAAGGGGGAGGCGGAGCAUCAGGACUUGCUGGCCGACUGUGACCGGGCACUGCGCGGUUUUCUUUCUUCUUUCUAAUUAUUUGGAGAGACCCUAGAUUUGGGCAAGGUCUUCGCCUGGCCUGAGUCUCGGGGUCUCCCUUGACCGCUGUAGAGCCCCUGGGAUAAUCCUCCUUGCCCUCGAGCACCUGUCCCUGCCCCCACACCCAGGAAGGGUCUGAACAUGGAGUAAGAAGUCAGCCAGGAGCGGGCACAGCCCUCCAGAAGAGGGGCGCACAGAUGGGACUGCUGGGGGGACUCUGGGGCCUUUCCAUCUCCGCCUCCCCCACGGCCCCCCCUGGGCUGCCGCACACAGUAGGUCUCCUAACUGGGUCCCCAGGUGGGUCCUGAUCUGAAUCCCUCAGUUCCAAGGGGAGGCUUCCUGCGGAAGCACUGGAGGCGGAGGAAGGGACGGGACUCGCCAUGCCGCCAGGCCUCCUGCGAGGCUGCCAGACAGGGUGACCCUUGCUGUCUGUUUCUUUCUCCCCCUCAGGUCCCGCGGGCUUGCUCCCAAACUCCAGCCCCAAGCAGCCAUUCCUCCACCCUUCAUGGCUCGUCAGCCCCAGGAGGCGGCACGAGCAUGGCUCCCUGGCCUCUCCGCCACUUCCAGGAGCCAGGGUGCUGGUCUAGAGGCGCGGGCCUCAGUGCUACCCUCUGUCCUCAGCCCUCCCAUCACGUCCCUGGGGGCCUCACACAGCACUCUGCACGCACCCCGGUUCCAAACUCCUCCUGCCCCAGGGCCUUUGCAAGGACUGUGCUUCCUCAGCUGUCUCCCUCAGGCUCUCCCCUCCAUGGUCUGGCCAGAGGCCUUCUCAGAGCAUCACCCCACAGUCCUGCCACUCUCUCUGUGCUCUUCUGCAUGGUACCAUUGAACCCAGGGACACUUUACCACCGAGCCUCUUCUGCAGCCCUUUUUAUCUUUAUCUAGUUUGCCAAGUUGCUGAGGCUGGCCUGGAUCCUCCUGCCUCAGCCUCUCGAAGCCCUGGUGUUCCAGGGGAGCACCCCAUGCCAGGCUCUCCCUGGGCUCUUCCUUGUCUUCUCUGUGGUGUGUCCCCUCACCCGUGUCUGUUCUCCCCCAGGACAGUAACCCUGGAGGACUCGGUGCUGCCCGUGUGCACCUUGGUCCUGAAUGAGUAUCCAGUGAAUGAGGGAAGGCCAGUGUGUGGUGGUGGAAGCCAGGCAGAGGGGCUGUGGCCAGUUUGCCACCAGGGCUCCCUGAGCUGCCCAGCGAAGGCAGGAUACGGCCCUGGCCAGGGGGGAGCCUGCUGCUGGGGUGUGGCUUGGCACGUGGCUGUGGGGCGGCCGUCCUCCUGUCCAGAAGACUCGGGAUGUGCCUGGAGCAGCCUGAAAGCAAGGCCCCUGGCCUCUCUGCCUCACUUGGUCAUCCCGACUCAGGACAACCUUAGCGUCCCUCCCCGUGCCCAGUGAGGUCCGAGGAAAGUCCCCAGGGAAAGUCCCCUGCAAGCCAUUGAUGACAGCACGGUUGUAGCUACAAUGCUAAAAUAUGAAAGUAAAGAAAAAUUUCAAAAAGUU
rnacentral:lncRNA from 1 species